rnacentral:rRNA from 1 species
UACAGAGGGUGCAAGCGUUAAUCGGAAUUACUGGGCGUAAAGCGUGCGCAGACGGUUGCGUAAGUCAGAUGUGAAAGCCCCGGGCUCAACCUGGGAAUUGCAUUUGAGACUGCGUAGCUAGGGUGCGGAAGAGGGAAGCGGAAUUUCCGGUGUAGCGGUGAAAUGCGUAGAUAUCGGAAGGAACACCAGUGGCGAAGGCGGCUCUCUGGGACGGUACUGACGCUGAGACGCGAAAGCGUGGGGAGCGAACAGG